UCUAGCAUAUCAAUAAGCGGAGGAAAAGAAACUAACAAGGAUUCCCUAGUAACUGCGAGUGAAGCGGGAAAAGCUCAAAUUUAAAAUCUGGCGGUCUCUGGCCGUCCGAGUUGUAAUCUAGAGAAGUAAUGCCCGUGCUGGACCGUGUAUAAGUCUCCUGGGAUGGGGCGUCAUAGAGGGUGAGAAUCCCGUCUUUGACACGGACUACCAGUGCAUUGUGGUAUGCUCUCAAAGAGUCGAGUUGUUUGGGAAUGCAGCUCAAAAUGGGUGGUAAAUUCCAUCUAAAGCUAAAUAUUGGCGAGAGACCGAUAGCGAACAAGUACCGUGAGGGAAAGAUGAAAAGAACUUUGGAAAGAGAGUUAAACAGUACGUGAAAUUGCUGAAAGGGAAACGCUUGAAGUCAGUCGCGUUGGCCGGGGAUCAGCCUUGCUUUUGCAUGGUGUACUUUCUGGUUGACGGGUCAGCAUCAAUUUUGACCGCUGGAAAAAGACCUGGGGAAUGUGGCAGCUUCGGCUGUGUUAUAGCCCCUAGUCGCAUACAGUGGUUGGGAUUGAGGAACUCAGCACGCCGCAAGGCCGGGUUUCGACCACGUUCGUGCUUAGGAUGCUGGCAUAAUGGCUUUAAGCGACCCGUCUUGAAACACGGACCAAGGAGUCUAACAUGCCUGCGAGUAUUUGGGUGGAAAACCCAAGUGCGUAAUGAAAGUGAAAGUUGAGAUCCCUGUCGUGGGGAGCAUCGACGCCCGGACCAGAACUUUUGGGACGGAUCCGCGGUGGAGCAUGUAUGUUGGGACCCGAAAGAUGGUGAACUAUGCCUGAAUAGGGUGAAGCCAGAGGAAACUCUGGUGGAGGCUCGUAGCGAUUCUGACGUGCAAAUCGAUCGUCAAAUUUGGGUAUAGGGGCGAAAGACUAAUCGAACCAUCUAGUAGCUGGUUCCUGCCGAGUUC
rnacentral:rRNA from 1 species